GCCUGGGUAGUUCAGUGGUUGAUCAUCUGCCUUCAGCUCAGAGCGUGAUCCCGGAGUCCUGGGAUCGAGUCCCACCUCAGGCU
rfam:Canis lupus familiaris chromosome 16, whole genome shotgun sequence.